CUCACCUGCCUUCCUCAAAUGUGAGGUGAGAGUUGGGCCUGUCAUUUUUUUUCCCCUGGUCCUCUCAUGUUCUUUCCAGGUUCUCUUCACGUUUUAAUAGAAUGGGCUCAAAUUAUAGACUUCCUAUAAUUUCAAAUUUGAUUGCUAGGAGCUCGCCUGUCAUAGUGUAGAAAAAUUACAUAUGCUGAGUAUUGAGAUGCUGGGAUUGGUGAUUUAUUACGUGUAGGUAUAAUGCAACCUUUUUCUAAUUAAUACAUGUGCCUUUGUAUUAUAUAUAAUGUUUAUGUUACUAGUAUUAUAAUAACAUAAAAGAAUUCCUGGAUUUAUUGCUUCAUCUGUAAAAUGAUAAUAGCACCUCAGAGUUGGUGUGAGGAGCAGAAUAAUUUGUAUAAGCCACUUUGAUAUGUAAAGCAUCCAUGAGUUUAUUCAAGGGGGAAAUUUGGGAAGUAAAAAAUAUAAAGGAAGGAAAAAUCACUUGUAACAACAAUAGGGAAGAUCACUGUUCAUGUUUUGCUGUAUCCUAUCAUACAUACAUAAUAUUAGAGGGAAGUAUGGUACUUACUGUUUUAUUGAUAAGUAUACAACUUUUACUGUUGGUUUUUAAAAUUUUAACGGGAGGAGGAAUAGCUGAUGAAAAGAAUUGGGUGGGGAGGGGAGAAGUGCUUUAAGUGGGUUUACUGGAAAUCAGGAGAUCUGAAUUCUGGUUCUGGAUCUGCCACUAAAUGGAUUUAGGAAAUAUUCCAACAUUCUGAGCUUCAACUUCCAGUUCUGUACAACGAGAGUUGGACGUAGAUGCUCUCUGAUCUCUUUCUGAUCCUUUGUGGGUACAAGCUUUUCAAGGGAACUGGGUUUGGGAAAUGUAUAUAAUAAAGUGGGAGCAGAGAACCUUGCUCUUAAAAGGAAAACAGGGAGCUGGGCCCGACUGCGUUAACACUGCGCACAUUCAGUAAUCCACCUUCUCUUCAAUCUCUUGAUUCCUCUUGCGUGGUUCCCUCCUAGACAUCCCUCACCUCUGGACCAUUUAAGCAACUUCCCCCGUAGCCCCGAGAGCCUACCUCGUAGGAUGGGGACAGUACGGUUUGUGUCACAGGGGUCUUUGACAUAACGUAACAAUGCGCAGGGGAGCCCCCACCUAGGACCCUCCGCUCCCUCUAGAAAAGUCCUCGGAGGCUGCGGUGGUUAGGAUGGGGCAUUUUUGCGCGUGUCCCCUGUGGCUGGAGAAGCGCUUCAUCUUGGAUGGAGUGGCCGUGAGCACCAUGGCCCGCACCUAUGAGCACUUGAGGCCUAAGCUCUGGUCGGCGAUUCCACCCUACAACGCGCAGCAGGACUACCACGCCCACCGGUACUUCCGGAGCCGCGUGGUUCCGCCCAUCUUGCGGAAAACCGAUCAGGUACAGGAGCGCCGUGGAGGACCCCACCGUUUGUGCCCGCAGAGCUUGGCCUUCGUGGCGGGGCCGACUUCCCAGAUCCGGGCGUCUCAUGGCAGCGCCCUCACCACCAGGGAGUCUCCCCGACUCGCACCCUCUCAGUUUUCUUAAUGAAACCCGGGAACUGGCGGAGGCGGGAGACAGGUGUUGAGCGCGAGCUCACUGAGCUCACAGAACCACCUUCCACGCCUGAACUUGAGAAUGAUUUCAUUUUGGGUUUCUGCAAGCCUCUGCCAAACAAAUGGGUUUCGUUGUCGUUUUUGGCAUCACGGAUCCACCCUUUGGGGUGACCUCCCGCCGCAAAUUCUCAAAAAGCCCGACAAUCGGUAAAAAGACAAAGAACUGCCUAGGUGAGGCGCCCUCGGUCCGGUGACGUCAUAGUUCAAGAGGGCUCGCUCGCUGCGACCUUCUGUGAGCUGACUGGAAGGAAACCUCCCGAAGUUCUGCAGCCCUCGCUUCUCCCCAGGCCUUUUGCCUCGUGGAUGUUGCCCCUCCCCCGCAGAGUACUUCCCCUGGAUCAAAGAUUCUGAGGCUAUUAUAGGCUCAGCUCCAAUGUUUUUCAACACUUUUGCUUCCAAUAUUUGUGUCUAUAAUACAUGUCAGUGACUUAGGGAGAGGAGGACUUAAUGCGGGUUAUUCUAUGAACAAAUCUUGGGAGUUUUUGUGGUCCCGGGUGUUCGUGUGUGCACAUGUGUGUUCAGUACAUGCAUAUGGACACACACAUCUGUGUGUGCCAUGUUUGUGCUUGCUGUCUACUCGUGAUUUUUAUAGCAGAAGGAGCCAGAAUCUGGGGGAAAACUCGAGAGUUUAAAAGCUUGAAAAAUAAUAUGGUGUACACACUUUUGAAUUUUUCUAUGUUCCAUUUUGUAAGUAUUCUUUAAUCGUCACAGACACCAUUUGUGGAUCAUGGCGGUACAGGAAGGGAUGGCUGGAUAGUGGAUUAUUUCCAUAUCUUCGGGCAAGGACAGAGAUACCUCAACAGGAGAAACUGGUCAGGGGCAGGCAAGUGCGACACCUCCCUUUCCAGUCUCACCAUGGUCCCACCUAGGAAGAGUGGUGUGCAUUCCAUAGAGAGAGAAACUGGGCCAUAAAGAGACCUGGUUGAGGGAAGAGACCCAGGGUCUGACUGCAUCCUCUAGCUCUUCUUCUCAUACAUGAGCAGAUGGUGUCACAGUGCUCUCUAUUAGUUAUGGAGCACCCGCUGUAUGUCAGGUGCUUUUUACCCUCAGAGUAUCCCCAGGUUACAGCCAGGGAAAUUGAGGUUUAGGGAGUUAAAAUGAUUUGCUAAGAAGGGCUGAGCUGGGGUUGGAAUUCUCCUCUUUCCAACGAAAGCCUGUGUUCUUCUCACUGCUCCCAGAGCAGGCUGUGUCCUGCUCACUCUCUAGGCCCCAUUUAGCAGCAACAGGAAAAGGGAGAGUUGAGACCUGUUUUUCUGGCAGGGUGAACCCUCCUCCCACCCCAACUCCACCACCCUUUGGCCACAUUCUAGUCACAUGUCCCCUGGCACCAUUGGCCAAAUUGAGCUCAUCCAUUUUCUCCAGCUGGGUCAGAUGCAAAGGGGAAAUUUUCUCUGUUCUCCUGGCAGCAAAGCAAGUUCAGCCAAGCCCAGAAGUUUCUGGCCCUUCCUGUCCCAGCAUGUACCAUUCACGCUCCCCUGCAUGCUAGUCCUAGGAGGAGGCUUGGUUUCUAGGAUGCCAUCUGCCUCCUCUACCUCACCAACCCUUGGCUUUUCAGGAUUGAGGGUUCAGCUGGGACAUGGGAGCACAGUGACUACACCUGGAUUGGCCUCCUAUACCAGCCCAGUGGGAGUGGGGAAAGCAAGAGGGGGCUGAAUACAGGCUCAGGCCUCUCUCUCUGUCCCGCAAGGGCAUUCCCUCCAGCAGGUGACCGGACAUGACAACUAUAAUGCCAAUCUGAAUGCGACCCAGGGGUUCAAUGGUCGGUUUGGCUAUCGCCGGAACACCCCAGCCCUCCGCCAGCGCCCAUCUGUCUUUGGAGAGGUCACCCAAUUCCCUCUCUUCUAACAGCAGCUCUUCUCUUCACACUCCUCGACCUGAAUUUCUGAGAUGUGUAUAUGAACUCUCAGUGUUAUUUGAUAUUAAAACUUUUGUGUGUGUGUC